rnacentral:rRNA from 1 species
GACAAACGCUGGCGGCGUGCCUAAUACAUGCAAGUUGAGCGCUGAAGGUUGGUACUUGUACCAACUGGAUGAGCAGCGAACGGGUGAGUAACGCGUGGGGAAUCUGCCUUUGAGCGGGGGACAACAUUUGGAAACGAAUGCUAAUACCGCAUAAAAACUUUAAACACAAGUUUUAAGUUUGAAAGAUGCAAUUGCAUCACUCAAAGAUGAUCCCGCGUUGUAUUAGCUAGUUGGUGAGGUAAAGGCUCACCAAGGCGAUGAUACGUAGCCGACCUGAGAGGGUGAUCGGCCACAUUGGGACUGAGACACGGCCCAAACUCCUACGGGAGGCAGCAGUAGGGAAUCUUCGGCAAUGGACGAAAGUCUGACCGAGCAACGCCGCGUGAGUGAAGAAGGUUUUCGGAUCGUAAAACUCUGUUGGUAGAGAAGAACGUUGGUGAGAGUGGAAAGCUCAUCAAGUGACGGUAACUACCCAGAAAGGGACGGCUAACUACGUG